rnacentral:tRNA from 1 species
GUCAGGAUGGCCGAGGGGGCUAAGGCGCUGCGUUCAGGUCGCAGUCUCCCCUGGAGGCGUGGGUUCGAAUCCCACUCCUGACA